CCUACGGGUGGCAGCAGUGAGGAAUAUUGGUCAAUGGACGAGAGUCUGAACCAGCCAAGUAGCGUGAAGGAUGACUGCCCUAUGGGUUGUAAACUUCUUUUAUAUGGGAAUAAAAUGUUCCACGUGUGGGAUUUUGUAUGUACCAUAUGAAUAAGGAUCGGCUAACUCCGUGCCAGCAGCCGCGGUAAUACGGAGGAUCCGAGCGUUAUCCGGAUUUAUUGGGUUUAAAGGGAGCGUAGGUGGAUUGUUAAGUCAGUUGUGAAAGUUUGCGGCUCAACCGUAAAAUUGCAGUUGAAACUGGCAGUCUUGAGUACAGUAGAGGUGGGCGGAAUUCGUGGUGUAGCGGUGAAAUGCUUACAUAUCACGAAGAACUCCGAUUGCGAAGGCAGUUCACUGGACUGCAACUGACACUGAGGCUCGAAAGUGUGGGUAUCAAACAGGAUUAGAUACCCUUGUAGUC
rnacentral:rRNA from 1 species